rnacentral:snoRNA from 1 species
AUCCCAUGAUGAGGACAGGCGGCCACAUACUCCUGAAGUCGUUCCCAUGCUUCAGGAAUGGACUCGUCCCUUUCCACGUAGGGCAUUGGUUU